GUCUGGGUGGUGUAGUUGGUUAUCACGCUAGUCUCACACACUAGUGGUCCCCGGUUCGAACCCAGGCUCAGACA
rnacentral:tRNA from 1 species